CCCGAGAGGUAUACCGCUGGACGUCGCCGGCGCUUAAGGAUCACUACCCAUAGAUUAGGACAAACGAUGGGUGCGAAAGCUCGGAGUCGCAGUCAAGUGUCGGGUCAUCCGGCGGAAGCGGUGACCACAAGGAGGAUUAUAGAUGCGUAAAGUGGCGAUGUGAUCCUUAAGGCGGAUGGAGAUGACGUGAGUUCUCACUAUCAAAACUUGCGCUGAUAGUCAAUUCGGCUAUCAAAUCUGUAAGUUGAACAGAGGGGCGGAUGCGAGGGAAAUGUGGGUCAUUAAGGCCUGUUGCGAACGGUGGAUGCAUAAUGGCGCCGACGACCGUGCAUCAAUCGGCACCGAAGGAGGAAUCCAUGGCAGUAAAAAAGCAGGGAUUUCUGUCUCCAAAUGCUUAGGCUUCUUGGCAGAAGGGAGUGCGCCGCAGCGACGUAGUCCCAAAGGGGGUAACACGUUAUAGGGGGUGACGACGGAGGGCAUCUCAGACCCGGCACAGAGUCAGGGUUACACCGGCUAGUUGGAGAGUCGGCCGCUGGCUAGCAGCCCAACCCCC
rnacentral:rRNA from 1 species